rnacentral:rRNA from 1 species
GACGAACGCUGGCGGCGUGCUUAACACAUGCAAGUCGAACGGACAGGCCCUGCUUUUGUGGGGUGCUCGAGUGGCGAACGGGUGAGUAACACGUGAGUAACCUGCCCUUGACUUUGGGAUAACUUCAGGAAACUGGGGCUCAUACCGGAUAGGAGCUCCUGCUGCAUGGUGGGGGUUGGAAAGUUUCGGCGGUUGGGGAUGGACUCGCGGCUUAUCCGCUUGUUGGUGGGGUAGUGGCUUACCAAGGCUUUGACGGGUAGCCGGCCUGAGAGGGUGACCGGCGACAUGGGGCCUAAGAUACGGCCCAGACGCCUACGGGAGGCAGCAGGGGGGAAUAUGGCACAAUGGGCGGAAGCCUGAUGCAGCAACGCCGCGUGCGGAAUGGCGGCCUACGGGGUGUAAACCGCUUUCGCCUGUGACGAAGCGUGAGUGACGGUAAUGGGUAAAGAAGCACCGGCUAACUACGUG